rnacentral:rRNA from 1 species
AUGGUUGGCGGGACGACUCUGGAGGACACUCCGACAUGGAUCGUCGCAUCGGUGUGCUCCGUCAUCGUCCUCAUCUCCAUCAUCUUCGAGCGCUCCCUGCAUUAUCUCGGCAAGGCGCUGGUUCACCGGAGGGAGACGCUGUACGAGGCGUUGCUCAAGCUCAAAGAAGAACUGAUGCUGCUGGGGUUCAUCUCGCUGAUGCUCGUGGUGUCGCAAGACCUGAUACAGAAGAUCUGCAUCGACGAGAGCCUCAUGGGGCACUGGUUGCCCUGCGUCCCGGGCGCCAGCUCCACGACGGCGCAUUACGGCGUCUCUGCCUCCUCCUCCGCCUCCGGCGUGAGCGUGGGCGCGAGGAGGCUGCUCAAGGGAGAGCGUGCAGCAGCAACGGGUUACUGCUCGAGCAAACAGGGAAAAGUGCCGUUGCUCUCGCUGCACGCCCUGGAACAGAUACAUAUCUUCAUCUUCGUCCUAGCUGUCACGCAUGUCGCUCUCAGCGCCUUCACCGUGCUCCUGGGGCUUCUACAGAUGCGGAAAUGGAAGCAGUGGGAGAAGAGUAUCAAGUCCGACGGCGACUGUGCUGCAGGUCCUGAGAUGAUGAUGAAGAUGCAGCAGCGCAAGUUCAUCCAGGACCGGUACAAGGGGUACGGCAAAGCCACCAUGAUCCUACUGUGGAUGCGUUCUUUCUUCAAGCAGUUCUACGGAUCGGUAACCAAGGACGAUUACAUCGCGAUGAGGCUUGGUUUCCUGAUGGAGCACUUCAGGGGGAACCGAGACUACAAUUUCUACGACUACAUGAUCAAGGCCCUCGAGAAGGAUUACAAGAGAGUCGUUGGGAUAAAAUGGUACUAUUGGAUAUUUGUAAUGUUCUUCCUGCUAAUUAACGUCACCGGGUGGCACUCAUACUUCUGGAUCUCACUUGUCCCGUUGACUCUGCUGCUUGUAAUCGGGACGAAGCUGGAGCACAUCAUAACCCGGAUGGCGUACCAGGUGAACCUGAAGCGCGCGGCCGUGGAGGCCGGGGCCAUCGCCGUCGACCCGUCGGACGACCUCUUCUGGUUCCGCAGUCCCCGGACGCUGCUCAUCCUCAUCCACUUCAUCCUCUUCCAGAACGCCUACGAGUUCGCCUACUUGUUCUGGACGCUAGCCAUGUUCGGCUUCAACUCCUGCAUCAUGGACAGGUUCGGAUACAGCGUGUCAAGAAUCACCAUAUGCGUGGUCGUCCAGGUCAUGUGCAGCUACAGCACGCUCCCCCUCUACGCCAUCGUCUCUCAUAUGGGGAGCUCGUUCAAGAGCGCCGUAUUCGCGGACGACGUUGUAGAGCAUCUCAGGGCCUGGGCCAGCGACGCUCGGGAGCGCGCACGAGGAACCGACGGCGCUGGCUGCCUGGGCGCGGGCGCGGCGGCGACAGGGUCGAGUAGGGAAGGGGUCCGAUCGCAGGACAAGGCAGAGGAGCCAGCUCCUCAACUUUCAUCAUAA